rnacentral:misc_RNA from 1 species
GUGAGUCAUCGAAUCUUUGAACGCACAUUGCGCCCGCUAGUAUUCUGGCGGGCAUGCCUGUUCGAGCGUCAUUUCAACCCUCAAGCCCUGCUUGGUGUUGGGGCCCUACAGCUGCUGUAGGCCCUGAAAUGGAGUGGCAGGCUCGCUACAACUCCGAGCGUAGUAGAAUCCUAUCUCGCUAGGGAAGUGCAGCGUGCUCCAGCCGUUAAAGAACCCAUCUUUAACCCAAGGUUGACCUCGGAUCAGGUAGGAAUACCCGCUGAACUUAAGCAUAUCAAUAAGCGGAGGA